GAACCGUGCGAACGUUGUUCGGGAAUCACUGGGGCUUAAAGGGUGCGUAGGCGGCCAAGUCAGUCGGGUGUGAAAUCCCUCGGGCUCAACCGAGGGAACGGCAUCCGAUACUGCUUGGCUCGAGGGAGAUAGGGGCGCGUGGAACUUCGGGUGGAGCGGUGAAAUGCGUUGAGAUCCGAAGGAACGCCGGUGGCGAAAGCGACGCGCUGGCUCUUCUCUGACGCUGAGGCACGAAAGCUAGGGGAGCGAACGGGAUUAGAUACCCCGGUAGUCCUAGCUGUAAACGAUGAGCACUAGGUCGAGGUGACUCCGAUGGUUAUCUCGGCCGAAGCAAAAGUGUUAAGUGCUCCGCCUGGGGAGUAUGGUCGCAAAGGCUG
rnacentral:rRNA from 1 species